CCUACGGGAGGCUGCAGUGAGGAAUAUUGGUCAAUGGACGAGAGUCUGAACCAGCCAAGUAGCGUGAAGGAUGACUGCCCUAUGGGUUGUAAACUUCUUUUAUAUGGGAAUAAAACAGGGUAUGCAUACCCUCUUGUAUGUACCAUAUGAAUAAGGAUCGACUAACUCCGUGCCAGCAGCCGCGGUAAUACGGAGGAUCCGAGCGUUAUCCGGAUUUAUUGGGUUUAAAGGGAGCGUAGGUGGAUUGUUAAGUCAGUUGUGAAAGUUUGCGGCUCAACCGUAAAAUUGCAGUUGAAACUGGCAGUAUUGAGUACAGUUGAGGUGGGCGGAAUUCGUGGUGUAGCGGUGAAAUGCUUAGAUAUCACGAAGAACUCCGAUUGCGAAGGCAGCUUACUGGACUGCAACUGACACUGAUGCUCGAAAGUGUGGGUAUCAAACAGGAUUAGAUACCCUAGUAGUC
rnacentral:rRNA from 1 species